rnacentral:pre_miRNA from 1 species
CUACUACUCCCUCCGUCCGAAAAUACUUGUUAUUGAAAUGGAUGUAUCUAGAUGUAUUUUAGUUCUAGACACAUCCAUUUUGAUGACAAGUAAUUCCGGAUGGAGGGAGUAGUAU